UCCAAUGUUUCCGGAUUUAUUUUAGAUGAGUUUCCCGUUUGUAAUGUGAAUUCUGCUAUUGACAAUACACCCUUUCGAUAAUUACGUCGCAACUACACUGUCUUCAACUUAGGACCACCUUAAAUGGAAAGGAUUUCAAGUGUUUUUUUCUCAUGGGCUAUGCAAAGAGAAGCAGGACAUCUUUCUUCAACACAUUCGCGGAAAAAUAUUCUGGAUUUUGAUCAAUAAAUAUGGAAAUAAAAAAAAAGUAAACGAGGCUCCAGGUCAUGACCUGGAGCCUCGUUUUCGUGUUAAAGCUUAUUUCCAUAUUUAUUGGUCAAAAUAAAGAAUAAUUUUUCGCGCAUGUGUUGAAGAAGGAUGUUCUUCUUAUCUGCGGAAAAUUUUUUUAUAUAUGUCCAGAAAUUGUUUUUGUGUUGAUUUCUCUCUCUCUCCUCCCCCUCUCCCUCUCCCGCCGGGUGGCCAACAAUUUUGUGGAAAGAAAUAUUAAUUAGUGGUUGAAAAGUUAGAUAUUUUCAGGUAAAAUUAUGAACUAUAGGUUAAAAUCAGGUAGAUUUUUGUUGCUCA